AUUGAACGCUGGCGGCAUGCCUUACACAUGCAAGUCGAACGGCAGCGCGGGGGCAACCCUGGCGGCGAGUGGCGAACGGGUGAGUAAUAUAUCGGAACGUACCCAAGAGUGGGGGAUAACGUAGCGAAAGUUACGCUAAUACCGCAUACGAUCUAAGGAUGAAAGUGGGGGACCGCAAGGCCUCACGCUCCUGGAGCGGCCGAUAUCUGAUUAGCUAGUUGGUGGGGUAAAGCCUACCAAGGCAUCGAUCAGUAGCUGGCCUGAGAGGACGACCAGCCACACUGGGACUGAGACACGGCCCAGACUCCUACGGGAGGCAGCAGUGGGGAAUUUUGGACAAUGGGGGGCAACCCUGAUCCAGCAAUGCCGCGUGAGUGAAGAAGGCCUUCGGUUGUAAGCGUCUUUUGUCUAGGGAAGAAACGGUUAGGGGCGUAAUAUCCUCGGCUAAUGACGGUACCUGAAGAAUAAG
rnacentral:rRNA from 1 species